UACGUAGGGGGGCUAGCGUUGUCCGGAUUUAUUGGGCGUAAAGAGCGUGUAGGCGGCCAUGUAGGUCCGGUGUGAAAACUCGAGGCUUAACCUCGAGAUGUCAUCGGAAACCAUUUGGCUAGAGUCCGGAAGAGGAGAGUGGAAUUCCUGGUGUAGCGGUGAAAUGCGCAGAUAUCAGGAAGAACACCAAUGGCGAAAGCAGCUCUCUGGGACGGUACUGACGCUGAGACGCGAAAAGCGUGGGGAGCGAACGGG
rnacentral:rRNA from 1 species